AGUACGGCGAGUGAAGCGGCAAAAGCUCAAAUUUGAAAUCUAGUACCUUCGGUGCUCGAGUUGUAAUUUGUAGAGGGAUACUUUGGGGCCGUUCCUUGUCUAUGUUCCUUGGAACAGGACGUCAUAGAGGGUGAGAAUCCCGUGUGGCGAGGAGUGCGGUUCUAUGUAAAGUGCCUUCGAAGAGUCGAGUUGUUUGGGAAUGCAGCUCUAAGUGGGUGGUAAAUUCCAUCUAAAGCUAAAUAUUGGCGAGAGACCGAUAGCGAACAAGUACAGUGAUGGAAAGAUGAAAAGAACUUUGAAAAGAGAGUGAAAAAGUACGUGAAAUUGUUGAAAGGGAAGGGCAUUUGAUCAGACAUGGUGUUUUGCGCCCUCUGCUCCUUGUGGGUGGGGGACUCUCGCAGCUCACUGGGCCAACAUCAGUUUUGGUGGUCGGACAAAUCCGUAGGAAUGUAGCUUACCUCGGUAAGUGUUAUAGCCUGCGGGAAUACGGCCAGCCGGGACUGAGGACUGCGACUUUUGUCAAGGAUGUUGGCAUAAUGGUUAUAUGCCGCCCGUCUUGAA
rnacentral:rRNA from 1 species